GCCGAACAUAGUAGGCAUCGUUCGAAUAAGCGUCGUGGCAGUUUGUAGAGAGCCGCCGGCAGCUGUUUGUAAACAAUACCGACAGCAAUUCCAAUAUGGCUGAAAGUGCAUUUCAUAUGAUUGUUUCACCUGGUAUAUAUAGAGGCGCCUUGGUAAAGAGUAGUGCCGGCUAACGACUUUCCACCAUCAAGGAAGUAGGAAGUGCGCGUCGGAACAAGUAAAUUUUAAUAGUGCCAGAGUGCAUCGAGAGCAAAUAGAGAAGAUAGAAUAAGAUUGUUAUAAGAAAUAAAAGAAAUUAUAAGAGAAAAGAUAAGAGCUAAAAAGAAGAAGAGAACCGGAAGAGAAAAAAAGGUCCUUUCAGCGGGCCUUUUUUUAUAUUUCAUCUUUUUCUCCGCCGAGACGUGUGGUACCCGCCAUUGAAAUAAGGGACGUUCGACUGCAAUUUCCGCCAUUGAUAGUCGACGUCGAGUAAGGAUACCGGAACCAGAAGAGCCAUAUUCACGCUUGGAGGUUACAGCGGGGAUUUUAUCCGGUUAAACGACGGAGAAAGAAGAGAAAAAAUACACGAAAAGUACUGCAAGUAUAAAAGCAUAAAAUUUUGUGACGUCACAAUUAGGACAGAGGAAGAAGUGAUAGAGAAAAUAGG